AACGCUGGCGGCGUAGCUUAACACAGUGCAAGUUGAACGGGACGGAUAUUGAAGCGACUUUUCGGAGUGGUGGAUAUAUUGUUUAGUAGCGGACGGGUGAGUAAUGCAUGAGAACCUGCCCUCAGAGGGGGACAACAGUUGGAAACGGCUGCUAAUACCCCAUAUGCCGAGAGGUGAAAGGAGCGAUCCGCUGAAGGAGUGGCUCAGUGUCCUAUCAGCUAGUUGGUGAGGUAAGUGCUCACCCAAGGCGAUGACGGGUAGCCGGCCUGAGAGGGCGACCGGCCACACUGGAACUGAGAUACGGUCCAGACUCCUACGGGAGGCAGCAGUGGGGAAUAUUGGGCAAUGGGCGGAAGCCCUGACCCAGCGACGCCGCGUGAGGGAAGAAGGCCUUUGGGUCGUAAACCUCUGUUGUAUGGGAAGAAGGAAGUGACGGUACCAUACGAGGAAGUCCCGGCUAACUACGUGCCAGCCGCUGC
rnacentral:rRNA from 1 species